rnacentral:rRNA from 1 species
UACGAAGGGGGCUAGCGUUGCUCGGAAGCACUGGGCUUAAAGGGCGCGUAGGCGGCCACCGCAAGUCGGUUGUGAAAUCUCUGGGCUUAACCCAGAAAGGUCAACCGAUACUGCGGGGCUAGAGUGCAGAAGGGGCAACUGGAAUUCUCGGUGUAGCGGUGAAAUGCGUAGAUAUCGAGAGGACCACCUGCGGCGAAGGCGGCUUUCUGGGCCUUACCUGACGCUGAGACGCGAAAGCGUGGGGAGCGAACUGG